AGAGAUGGGGUCUCACUAUGUUGGUCAGGCUGGUCUCAAACUCCUGGCCUCAAGUGAUCCUCC
rnacentral:miRNA from 1 species